rnacentral:misc_RNA from 1 species
CUGAAUUGUCAACACGAGUUGUUGCUGGUCCUCAAGUGGGGGCAUGUGCACGCUCUGUUUACACAUCCACUCACACCUGUGCACCCUCUGUAGUUCUGUGGCUGGGGGACUCUGUCCUCCUGCUGCGGUUCUAUGUCUUUACACACACACUGUAUUAAAGUCUCAUGGAAUGUAUGCUGCGUUUAACGCAAUACAAUA